UUUUUAUGUGGGAAGGCAGUAGAAUGCUGCUUUCUGGCACACGUGAAUUCAGAGAAGAUUCUCUCUCUCUCUACAUCAUGAAAGUGAUUGCCUGAAGAGGCGCUUGAUUGGACCGAGAGGUUAAAACAAAUACAAGGACGUGACACUGGGAAAGUUAGACCAUAAGAAGACUUUCAGAAGCGUUCUGCUUCCACUGGGUCCAAGUAGCUCUCAUCAGACCAGCCCUCCUGGGAUCAAUAAAAAACGUUCAAUUCCUGAGAAACACAAAUAAAACAACUACUUGAUGACACUGGAGUGUGAAGAAAAGCAGGCAGAAACUAGAGGAGGGAUGAUGCUUGGAAGAAAGGAAAGAAACCUGGUGAGUUUCCUGUUUGGAAACACUUAUCUGGGGGCAGAUCCAGUCUACACCACGAGGAACAGCCAGAACUGAUGGAAAUGCACAAUCUUACUUCCUUGAAGAACCAGAAGACAGGGUUCGGAGUGCAGCUACAGCCACUGGAAUAUGAGGAGGAAAAUACCAGAAAAGGAGAAAGCUAGAGAAGGACUUGCAGACACCUCACCUGCCACCAAUUCCUGGAGAUGUUUUCUUGGACCUCCCCUCAUUUUCCUACAAUUAAGAUAGAAUCUCUUACACCUUUUCCUACCUUGUUGUUGAGUCAUUACUUGCAAGGAAUAAAAACACACUGAAAUGGCUCGGCAACAAGAAAGAGAUAUGAUAGAUGCUGAUGGAGACGUAUUAAAAUCUCCCAGCUUAAAGGGCAGGUCUCCUGACCUUUUCCUCAGGAUCCUGAGGUCGGCUCUCCUUCCUCUCUCUUCCUUGUGGCGACUUCCAAUCUUUCAACAAGUGCUGUCAAUCGUGUCUUCUCCACACAUUCAAGAAAAGAUUGAUAGAGCGGUUAACAACAGGCCUCAGGUGUGAACAUAUUCACUAGGAAUGUUACAUAAGACGAACGUCUGUGGGGAGGCGGAGUGGAAUUUUGAGGACAAAGAAAAAACAGCGAAGGUUUUUGAUUCUUCGAGAAAAAUGUGAUGAUUAAUUGUUUUGGUUGGUAAGGGCGAGCGUCCAGUCGUUGUGGCCUUAGAUUCUAUCAGUUGCAUUCAACCCGCC
rnacentral:lncRNA from 1 species